AUAUAUUUAUUAAUUUUCUUCUUUUUUCUUCGAUUGGUGUCACCACGAGGACAUGGUACGAGCUUUGCUUGCGAUUGCGAUUUUCGAGUGAUUAUGCGUAUUUUUUCCAUCGUCGUUCUUUCUUUCGUGGCUCGAUUCCUCUUGAAAUCACCGCGAUAUUUUUGCAUUUGAAGCAUUAUUCGAGCAAUGGAUCAAAGCUGAGACCAUCUCAAAACUGAAACCAAAUCAAGUUCAAUGAUAUCUCGCCUGGAAAUAUCUCCGAAAGAAAAAAAAAAAGAAAAAAAUUCAGAGAGAUUCGAGCCACCCCAAACAUCGUUGACACGUUUUAACUUUAAGAUGCGCGGGGUCCCGAGCGACUCGGAAAAAUUCGGGCGGGAUCGGGCGAGAUCGCGAUAUUUCAUUAUUCGUCCGAUCUCGCCCGAAUCUCUCCGACUCCCUUGCGAUCUUUCGCGAUCUCUCCCGAUGUUGCCCGAACUUUUCCGAUCCGCCGCGAAAUUCAAAUUCUAACCUCUCUCACCAUCCGUUUUUGGCCAACGAGAUGGUAACAAAAAUGUUAUGCUAAAAAAAAAAAAAAAGAAAAAUCAAACAAAAGAUCAUGGCGGGGCACACGGGGACCCCGUCAAAGUUCGACAUCGACGAACUCGUGUACUCGUCAGCGAGCAACGCUUCGAAACAAAGGGAUUCACGAAGAAUAAUAUAAAGAUAGGGGAGAGGGCACGAACGUCGGCGUUUCAUCACGUCCAUGAACUCUGCGCUUUCGGAUGAUUUCACUCGAGAAAGAACGUUUUUUGAACGGAUCGAUUUCGGUGGAAACUUUUUUUUUUCCCCUCCCCCAUGAAAAUAUGUACAAAGUCAUCGUAUACACGCGUCAUGCACGACACGCAUUCUCACGUACACAUACACACACCACACACACACACCACACACACACAAAUCACACACUUAACGAGAAUCAUUGAAUUAGAUAGAUAAGCUACGCGUGAUGCCAGUACAGUCCCACGGCGUGAUAGUGUGCGAGGAGAGAAAGGAAGGAAGGGAAAAAAAGGAAGGGAGAUGAGGAACGAAGAGAGUGCGGUGUUUCUUCUUUAAAAAAAAAAAAAUAUAUAUAUAUAUAAUAAAAAAAAAUAAAAACCGGAAAAUUCGAGCGGUAUGCCUGACUUCCACUUGCGAACUUUUCAACUGUUCUAUUAUUCGGGGUGGAGAAGAUAACAAUUGUGGGAAGGAAGAGAGAAAGAGAGAGUUGUGCGAGCGAUUGAUUGCGUGUGGCUGCGUCGCGAACGAGAGGCCAGGAUGAAAUGAUGAUAAAUCGCGCAUGCGAGUGUGAGAGGGAGAGGUGUUUUUUUUUUUUUCUUUCUGGGGGCGAGAAAGUAGGAUUAUUAAACGCAAACCGAUUAAUUUCGAACACGAGCAUGCGGUGGUUUUUAGGAUAAAUGAUCUAUUGACAAAUGUUGUAUAUUAUUACGAAUUAUAAUGACACUAUUAUAAUUAAUUAAUUAAUUAAUUAAUUAAUUAUUAUACCCUAAUAACGUGAAUUGAAUUAAAAAAGAAAAU